rnacentral:siRNA from 1 species
UGGAACUUCUGGUGGGAAACAA